CUAGCAUAAGCAAAGGCAUCAGAAUCUGGUUCUUCCUAGCAUUAUGGAGCCUGACAAGAAAAGAAAUUAGGCAAAAACCAGUCCAUAUUACCUAGGGACUGCAGAUUCCGUUACAAAGAUCGGUACUUCGUGUAGCUAUUUACAACCGUGCUUCAUAGCAGAGCUAGAAGAUAGAAUUCACUUGGAGAUUAAAAGCUUGAAGACACCUUGAGUAACAACUACUUCCUCUGGGGCUGAUUGAAAGUUAGAAGAAUAUCAUACCUUGACAUGACGCUUGCCCACACUAGGAAGCCUGUUAUUCAGGAAACCUUUGGAUGGUAAGUAAUAACGGAAAGUAGUCAUUUUACUACAUCAUUUGUGUUGGACGUGACACCAAGGUCAGAGGCCACAACUUUAGU
rnacentral:lncRNA from 1 species